rfam:TPA: Bos taurus chromosome 16, whole genome shotgun sequence.
UCCCUGGUGGCUCAGAUGGUAGAGGAUCUGCCUGCAAUGCAGGAGACCUGGGUUCAAUUCCUGGGUUGGGAA